rnacentral:lncRNA from 1 species
CGUCUCGCCGUGUUUCCUGUCAGAUCGACUCGCUACUGCUGCUCCCGACUGCACGUAAGGCUUCAGUAUUAAGUGAGGAAAUAAGGAAAGCUUUGAGUUGAAAGGAGUGGCAGGAGGAAAAAAACCUGAAAAGGAGACAUUCUGGAAUAUGAAACUGUUUUCUCAAUUUCCAGGAAGAGAUUCAGGAAUGAGCUCGUCAAAGUAGCUAAGAGAGAUGGAUUGGGAAGAAAGCAGAAAGAAGACACUUCUGGACGAAUAAAUAUACCUCAGAGUGCUCACUAGAAUUCACAUGGCUUCCAGACUUAAAGAUUUCUUACGUUCUUUGAGUACAAUGUUCCUUAAGCACACUUCAAGGCCUCACAGGUGCCACUGUCCUACAGCAGCACAGUGCAGCACUGAGAUACUCCUCAUAACCUCAUCCUGACCAGCUUUCCAACUCUGCAUCCCAGCAAUGUCAACCUUUGUCGCACCACUCUGCUUGCCAAGUUUUAGGUAGUUUCUAACACAGUUUAUGGUUUCCAGAUAUGAUUACUGAAGCCUAAUGCAACAAAAUUUUGAUUCCAAAGCAUCCGAGGCCUUCCAGCUUGAAAUAGUGAGCCAUUAUGGAAAAAGGAAUUUGGCAACAGAAAGAAAGUGAUUUUAUUUUUCAUGUCUUCAGCAACUAAAGUUGUUUCAUCCUUACAAAAAGCAUUCAAAUUAUUAAAAAGUGACAUGACCGAAAGAAAAUAUAAGCUGCAACGUACUUCACAUAGUGAAAUUCUUCAAACAACCUGAAAUAACAAAGAUCCAUUACUAGAACAAGGCAAGAUUUUUUUCUGGUUGAAAAGUACCAGAUCAGGUAAAUUAAAUUUCACAGUGGAAAUUUAGUAUUUUCAAUGGUACAUCUGAAAAAAGGUUUUUUUUUAAUGGGGAAAAAUAUUUUGGCCAAAUGUGAAAAAGAAAGGAGUCUGGUGGUUAUGAUGCAUGCCUAAGGUAUGAUAUGCAAGCUGAAAUUCCUUCUGUCAGCAUCAUAGUACAUUCCUAAAUCAUGUCUUGUCUAAGUGCCCUAGUCAUUAGCUCAUUUGUACAUAUGCUUCCUUCUCUCUAAAGCUUUGUAAUGUGUUCUGCACUUUGUUCACAGUGGAAAAAGAAAACAUCCAUCUCAGUGUUUUGCAGUCUGGAAAAGCUGUUUCCCAUCUAGAUCCAUUUGAAAUCAAGUAUUUUAUUUAUCCUUAAUAAAAAGUUCUUUUCUUGAAGGUCUUGAAACAUGAUGAAAUUUAGAGAAAUCUUCAGGUUUUAUUCCAUUCUUUCACGUCCUAAUAAGAACUGACCCAUAGCUGCUUGUUUUUAGUAUGUUAUUAGUCCGAAAUAGAGUACUUUGAUCAGCUCUGAGAGCCUUACAUAGAGCCCCAUGGAAAAUGGAAUAAGCCCUAAGGUGCAACUCACUUUACUGAAUAAUGUCCAACUGGAGCUUUCAGUUCAUAGCCAUGCAAACUCUGGGCAGAGAAGUUGUGGGUUUGAUGCACCAAACCCCAUCUCUCCACAACCACUGGCUUUUGGCAGAUCAUAUAUUGAUUGGAAAUUUACUUUACAGUUCAUAGACCUGUUAUUCCCAUAAAUUCUGGACAAUGUUUCCAGCUGAGCUGUUGUCUGAGUUUAGAUUCUUCAGAGCUGUAGCUCUGAAUAUAUAUAUACACAAAUAUACACUGUUAGGAUCAGGGAAUACAUGCCUUGCAAUUGCCAGUCUUAUAGGCUUUUGCCUGCAGUUUAUAUGUAAUUAUUGAGAAACUGAUAGCUUAACUGCUUGAUAUAAUACCAGAUAAGUUGUUCUAUUUCUUUCUUUUUGGAUUUUUCAUUUUUUCCAGGAAGAAUUAAGUGCCUUUUUUUUUUUUUUUUCUUUUUUUUUUUUUUCCAAGGAACUGUGAAUAUAUUAAAAGUAUCAUUUGUUCAGUCCUGUUGGAAACACAAUGGUAAUGUUUGUACUGGGAAACUGAACAGUUCAGGCAUGGGUUCAAGCACUCUCUGUGAUUGACUAUACUGUUAAUUGUUAGCAUGAUCCCUAACUUGGUUUCGAUCUGUGCCAACUGUGUUUGGGCAUAGUUAGAGGGCCACCAGGGACAGCAGAUCAUUCCUAAUAGGCCAUUUGGACUGUUCUGUUCUAGUCUGUUCUAGGAGGGAAGAGAGCUUAGCUCUUUCAAUUGAUAUGAGCAGUGCAGUGCCAGCUGGCCUCAGGUCUGCAGAAAGAUCCACGGAUCAUUUAAUUUACUGGUGUAGAUGUAGCCAGUAGAAGUAUGGCCAGCAGAAAAAAAAAAAAAAAAAAGAAAAGAAAAAAAGAAAAGAAAAGGGAGAAAAAAGGUUUCAGCAGUCAGUGUUUUCAGCUUAACAUCUCCUGCACUCUGAACCAUCUUUUUCCUAGAUUUGCAUAAAAGCUUAUUUUCUUGAAAAUAAAACGUUGAGGUUAGAAAUAAUAAUCUUUGCCCUUCUGAUUUAAGAUAUCCAAGCAAGGAAGCUCUCUAGGGAAGCAUUUUUAUGGUGCUCUGAGUGAUUUUAUUCUUAUCUAUUUAAUUAUCUUCACUCAUAAUAAACUCUGCUUUGCAACAGGAGGUAGUGCUCUGCCUUAUUCUAAUUAAUGAAUCAGUUAGUGGACAACCUGCAGAGCCAGAAUAUGCUUAUUUAGAGACAUUCUCAUUGAUUUGAUGAAAUCUGCUGAUUCUGUUCAAGCUAUCCACUAUUUGGACCAAUAAAAUAGAACAGCCCUUCCAGACAGAAACCAAUGAACACCGUUGGUAAAGCAUGUGUUGGAAACAACUGUUUCUCUAAAUCUGAAAAAGGGUAGCCCUCAAAAUGAUGCAUCUUUAAAGAAUUUUCAUGAAUAAUACAUUAGAGAAUGAAGAAGAUACCUAUGAUUUUGAAUUAGAACAUGAUUCUAAUACAUAGCCUGCACAUAUCUUUCUUCCAUGAUCAAUAUAUUUUUUGUGUAUAGAGAAGUAAUGAUUCUGGUAUCCUGAAAGACUGUAAUAUCAAGCUGAAUGUGUGGUAACUGCAGAUAAUAAACAGCAAAGAGUCUACAGCAUUGGCAAGCAGUCAAAAAUUUGGGUGCCUACAUUUUGAAUAUCGUGGGUAAUAGGGAACUCUCUCAAGAUUGCUCUAGUCAGAUAUCACUCAGAAUAUGGAACUCAAUUAAUGAUGCACGUAAAACACAAGAUGAAAAGUCAGAGAGAUAAGAUAACUUAUGAACAGCAAAUAGCAGAUGGAGAAAAAUAAAUAAACUGUAAACAAGGAGGCGUCUAGGGAAUUAAUUGGUAGGUUUGUAUGAAUAUCAGAGAAUAGCAAUUAAAAAGAAUACUGCAGAAAAAAAUAAAGGAUUUCUACUGUUACAGAAGAACAUCCCUCAAAAACUAAUAAAGAUCAGGUACUAUCAGAAAAAAAGACACUUGGAAAAAUUGAUAAACUGAUGAGAAGCAACAGUACUGAAGAGCAAAAGUAUUUGAGUCCUUGAGCCUAAGACUGAAGGCAAUGAGUAUAUAACAAGAGUUUGCACUGUCUCUUUAAAGUUUGCACUGUCUCUUUAAAGUCUUAUUCAGUUUUCAGUCUUUAAGCCUGUGAGUAUUUCAGGUAGUGAAAUUUAUCUAUCUGCCCACAUAAGAUUGUUUUGAGGGAGAUCUUGGACACUGAACAAUGACAAGUACUCUUUAGAUAACAGGUAUGUUGGUUGAAAUAAUAUUUAAAAUAUAAUUUAUAAAAUUGCCUGGUGUGAGCAAGAUAAAAAAUCCAGACUUCACACGAGUACAGUGUGUUUUUGAUCUUAAAGAUUUGCCAAUGUGUAAAUAAAAAACUAAGCUAAGCAUGUCUGGUAACACUUUAUCUGGUUUUCAAUCCUACUUAGGAAGAGAUUAGGGAAGCUAAGCAGUGAUUUGUUUACUGGAAAAGUGUCAUAAUUUAAAGCUCUGGUAGGAGAUAGAAAAGAAGUACAAAUUUCAUCAAGAAAGGGGAAAAGAAAAAAGAAAAAAAAAAGUUGAGUUCUCUAACCUUUUAAUUUCUCUUACAUAGAGCUAAACAUAUUGAUGUAACAGGAAGGCAUAACAGGGUGACAAGUCUGUAUGUAUGACGGGUACGAAAAUUAAUCUACUCAGGAAAACCCUGAAAGACCUAAGAAUAUAAGAACAGUUAUGAUGGAUCUGAUCAUUAAUAAUCUUCAUCCAGUAACUUAAUUCUAAUAACGAACGUUUAGGAAAAGUCCAUACUAAGAAGAAAGGAAAACAUUAAGACUUCCUUUGCAUAUAAUAAAUUCAGGGAAUCUAAUGAGUUGAACGUACAGCUUGGUGACACGUGAAAUUCAAUAAAUGCUAUCUAAUACAUAUUCCUGUAAAUAAUUUGAUUUGUACAAAUUAGUGGGUUCCAAAUUAACUGAAGCAUCUCUGAGGGAAAUUAUAUAUAUAAAACUGGGGAAUAAAUGUGAAAUAUACACACAUAUAUAUAUAUAUAAAUAUAUAAUAUUUCUGGAGUAACGGAGAGAUUCCAAGAGUUACUGUAUUGGAGGCUGAAGUGAGCCUAACUGGAAAUGAGAGGCAAAAGCAGCCCAUGGUGACUGACCCAAAGGGUCUGUGCAUCCUUGGUAUAGAUUAUCUCAAGACAGGGUACUUUACAGAUCCAAAACAGUAUUGGUGGGCUUUUGAUAUAGUUGCCUUGGAAAUGGAGGACAUUAAACAGCUAUUUACCUUGCCUGGUCUUUCAUAAGACCCUUCAGUUGAGUAGUUGCUAAGAAUAUAUAUACACAUAUAACAUAUAUGUAUAUGCACAUGUGUACUUUAUGAUAUUGGCCCAUGAAGUCGUAGGCAGAUGUUGGUGGGAUGGCAGCAGACGGUGAUCCUUCCCACCAAUAUUCCACUACAUUAAGUUGCCACAUGACAGAUGACAAUGAAAGAUGGGCUGUGUGGGCAACAUUUUCCAAGCAGCUAUGCCACUGUAGCAGCUGUGAACUAGUGGCUCACCUCCACUAGUGCAGAUUUUUAUGAGUGCAGCAUGCAGGCUCUUGUUCAUUGCUGGCAAAAAGGCACAGCUGGUAGUGGUGACUAUGUUAAAAAAUAGUGUUUAGCCAAUAGUUGAGAAUUUGCUUUAUCAAAUAAUACCGUUGUGCUCUUAGUAUCUGUUGUAGUUUCCAUGGGAAUUGAUAGGAGGUGCUACAUUUGGAGUAAUCUAAGCAUGUGUGUGUAUGUAUAUUAUAUUUUUUUAUAUAUAUCUACAUAAACUUGGGAACCAAUUUGAACUCAUUAUUUGCUAUGGCUCUACUACCUGUGUGUAUUGGAACAGAGCUUGUAGAUGCUGACUAGGCCUCUACUGUGCUCAUGCAAAAUCUCUCUAGCCUGAAAGGCCUUGCAAACCAAGUGUAACAACAGACAGGCAGAUGUGGGAGAACAAGGAAACAAUGAAGCAAUAUUGAUUGGAAGGAUAAGCAGAGGUGUCAGAUUAAUUGACCUUUGCACAUUGUGCCAUUGCGCAUUGGUGGUCAGAAAGGAAACAACAUGUUAGCGUGUAUAAUGCCAUUACACGAAUCAAUGAUUUCUAAUCUUCCUGUCUCAAAGGUUGGAGUAAAACCAAAAGGAAUUUAGAGCUAGAGGACAGAAAUUAUUCAAAAACAAAACAAAACAAAACAAAAAACCAGAAAUGUGGGAUUCAGAGGCUGGUAAUAGUUAAAUUAGAUGGAGAAAUGUUGUUUCAAUAUGUGUACAUAUUAAUGACAGGCAAAGUUGAUGUCAAGUAGAUGUCCCUAAUUAGCUGUUCUACUUACGUAGAACAUAGCAGACAAAUAAAAACACAUUUAAAUUGUAAUUUUCCUCACACGCUGGAUACUUAUGAAAUAUCUGUUGUCUGAUGUAACUUCAGUCACAUUCAAACUGGAACUGCAGGUUAAUCUGGAUAAUGACGUGUAAAUGUAAUUUUCUUCUUUUAAUGGAAUGCACAUCUCUGUGUAGAUAGACACUGACAAGUCACUAGCUCAUGAAGAAUAGGAAAAUAUUUUCCUCAUGGAUAGUUUAGUCUGUAAUUGUUCAGCACUUGGUUUCUCGCUGCUGUAGCUGAAGCACUUACUGCUAACUACCCACUGUGACAAACAGGACACUGUGUUAGAUAGGUAUGAUCUAGAGCAGCAAUUGCUGUGACCUUUAAUGGGAAACUCUAAAGUAUAAGAACUGUGAUUAUAAUGUAUAUCUAUAAAUAAUUGGCAACAUUUUGCUUUUAGUGAGCAUCUGGUUCUCAGUUCUUGCUCAGCAUGUGAGAGUAGAUGCAGUAGGACUGAUAGGAGCAUUUUCAGGGAUGUCUUUCCUUGUCUCUCCUCUAGUUCUGAGGAAGAGAAGAGGGGAAGGGAAAACAGCAAUGUUAAACUGAAUUAGCUACAAAUGGUUCAGCUAACUUCAAGAACAAUUAGAAAUUGCACAAUGAAUAAUUCAGUGUUUUGUCACUUCAGGGGCUUCCUUUUCUGCCUUUAUAAUUCAGAGCCCUUCCUUCCCUCCCCCUUCUUGUUAAGUAGAAAUUCUAGACGGAGAGGCAAUCUCCAGAGACUGCCUGCCCCAUUAACAUGCAGGUGGCAUUUCUAAGGGGCUCGCAGGAUGUCUCCAGCUGGAAGCAUGUUGACUGCACGCACGUGGGACCUCUGUGCUUUACAAGUCCUGGCGACCCUCACGCAAAUGCAGUUCAUAAGAAGGGAUUUCCUUUUAAAAAGUGUUUUUUUUUUUCUUGCUUUCUUAUUCCUUGCAUUGUUUGGGGAAUGACAUGUAAUAUGAAAUUAAAGGCAAAUAGUAUUUUCUAAUAAUCCUGAAGAGCUAAUAAAUCACUGCAGUGCUUCUUUAUCUUUUUCCCCCCUCCUUUUUUUUUUUUUUUUUUUUUUCUUUUCCUUUUUCCCCCUCCAUCCGGGAAAACUGUUACUCUGUAACAAUAGAGUCUGAUUAAAGACAGGAAAAAACGAGUAAGAGAUAAGUGGGCAGACAGGCACAUGCUAUAAGCACAACAAUUUUCUAGCACUUUCUGUGAGGAGCUGAAGACCUCUUGCUGUCCUUCAAAGGAAAUUGCAGGCAUUCAGUGCUGUUUACAUGUACAAACAAACAACAACAACAACAAAAAACCCUUCCGCACAAAAAACCUUCUCUGCUCUUACUGCCACUGUCAAUAUGAGCACUGCAUUCUGGUGACAAAAUAUUGCACGAAGAAAACCUGUACUGGAAGAAAAGCUUCAAAACAGGCUUCCAAGGACAGCAUGUUGUUCCAGCUCAGAAUAGAACUGUGCUUUUAAAAAGUCAGGGUUUUCAUGUCAGUGUAUUUAUAGUGCCAUGAUUUAUUAUUGCAGUGUUAGAAUUUAUUUACACAACACUAUAAAUUAAGAUAUAAGGGAAUAAUUAAUACAGUCAAAUGAAUACUACUAUAGAUGUUUCUUUUAUACAUUGUAUAUGAAGUUAGCACAUCUUCUAGCAUGUUUCAAAGAAGUAUUUGGGCCAAAUUAUGAUUUCUAACAAAAAUAACUCAAAAAUCACUGCACCUGUCUGCUGCAAUGGAGAUAUUAAUAAAUGUGUGUUCAGUGCAGUGUUUUUCUGUCCAGGAAAGAAUUACUCUUCCUGCAUUAAGCUCUUUCUGGUAUACUAAUAAAAUGCUCUGCUUUACUGAAUGCCCCUUUAGGACAAUUAUUGCACAGGGAAUAAGAUGCAGGUUCUAGCCCAAUCAGGGCAAAUCUCUUAGCACUCUUUUAGAGUCCUAGCUUUCCAAUGUGCCUUUUUAGCAAGGUACUCGGGGCAAAUUAUCUUUAGCAAAGCACUCAUGGCAAAUACCACAAACUGUGGUUUGCUGAAGUAUGUCAGAGACAUGGUUUCACUAGCUAAAUCUGGAUCACCUCCCUUUUUCCUUCCAGAUGAAAACUCUCACAUAGUGUAUGGUUCUCAACCAAAUAACAGACUUCAUCCCAUUAAAAGCCAUCCACAAAGGAAAGAAAAUUGAUUUUAGUAGAAUAGUCCCCGACAUGUCUGAUUGCUUGGGGGUAGAGUUGGGGGUGGAGUGCAGAAAAAUGGGCAGGAACAUGAUGAAGAGUGGUGUGGAUCAAGGAUUUCAGGUCAGCUUCCAACAUCAGUCAACUGCAUCCUCAGAUUUUUUCUUUUGUACUUUUCCAGCACACCAAGUAAAGGCACAAGAUGAUUAUUGCUUGUAUUCACCAUUGAGCUGAGCCCUAGUUUUCAUUUGAUGAUGGAGUAAAAGUAUUUUGAAUAUACCUUUGUGGCCUGUCAGCACUGUAUUUAGUAAGAUGUCAUUCUAUAUAAAAUGGCCCUCUCCCAUAUUUAGAUGUCUAUCUGUAAAGUGAAGGUGCAUCAGCCAGACAGUAGAGAAUAACAUAUGUUUUAAACAUUUCUUUACUGACAAUUUUGCUGAAUUUUUGUAUUGCAACACUUCUGCAGAUAAGGCUGUAAGAGUAGGUUUUUUCCAUGAACUACAGAUGAAAUUAGUCAUUAGCUGUGACUACCCAAAGCUGUGCACAUUUUUGUUUGCCAGUCAGUAUGCUUGGCUGACUGGCCAAUAGGUACAUGUAUUCUGCUGCCAAAACAAGAUGUAUAACAGAUGAAUUCUGCCUGUUUUUCCCUCCCUGGUUUUCUCCUCUAGUCAGCCAACACUCUUCAUGAAACUUGCAGGAAUUUCAUUAUCUCUGAGACUUCAAAUCCUCUUUCUAGUGUCCUCAAAAUUAAUCUAUAAUGAAAAUGUGGUAGUCUGACAAAUAAAUGUCCAAAAUAAAUCAGUGGUGUAAGCCUUGUGAAACCAGUGUCAAAAUACAGAUUGAAAAGAAAACAUAGGGAAGAGACUUACUUCUAACUGUUGGUGUAUUCUACAUUGCUGCUAAGAAUAUAAAUAUAUUUUUUAUAUGAUUCUUGAAACACCUGAGAGGAAAGGUUUGAGAAGCAAUCUGGCUUUGAAAAGAUAUUCAGUAUCUUUUGUUUUUAGGUAUUACUUCCAUGUUCUUUUUGUUCAUGCAAUUUUAUGAAAGUUCAUCCACUUCCUAGAUCUUCUACUGCAGAUCACUUAACUUCAGGCAAUUAUGACAUUAUUAUGCUAAUAUUGCUUUAAUGUGCUAUUUAUCAACAUUAUAUAAAUAUUUCAUAAGCUAAUUGCCUGAAAUUAUAAGGGCUGUAAAAAUCUUACAAGAGAAGCCCCACAUGAAUAAAGACAGUGUAGUCUGCUCACCUGCUCUGAAAGGUUUUAUGCUCCGUAGCUUGGUUUCCAUAUAUAAUACAGUCUGAGAAAAGAUUUUGUUUCUUCCUACAAAGCCUAUCCUUCUUAUACAUCUACAACUAUUUUGGCUAUAACACUGAUGUCUGAUGACUGACUGUGCAGUCUAAUUCUAAGUUAUGCUACACUUUGUGGGGAAACAGGUUAACUGUUUUCCUGAUUUCCGAGGUUGGGUGUAGCUUAGGAUGGCUAUUGCACCACUUAAAAUUAUUCUAAAGAUGACAAUUUCACAAGAAAACUGCUAUUGAGCUUUCAACUCUAGCCUUAGCAUCUCCUCUAUAUUCCUCCUAUAUAUAUUCCGUGCCAUGUAUGUAUUUUCAAAAAAGCAGCUUCACUCAUUCUUGUAUUGCAACCCACCCUUUGGAUAGGUUAAUCUCGUGGAAGGGAAAAGGUCUCUUAAAAGGCUGGGCAAUCAUCAUCAGGAUAUGUGUACAGACUGAGGGAUGAGAAAUUAGAGAGCACCUCUGUGGAAAGGUAUCUGUGGGUUCUGGUUGAUGUCAAGUUGAACAUGAACCAGCAGUGAGCCCUGGGGUGCAUCAGGUCCAGCAUUGCCAACUGGGUGAGAGAAGUGAUUGUCUUGCUCUCAUCUGCACUGGUGUAGCCUCACCUUGAACAAACUGUGUAGGUUUAAGCACCACAAUAUAAGGACAUAAAACUAUUAACAGGUGUCCAAAGGAGGGCUACAAGGAUGGUGAAGGGUCUAGAGGGCAAGACAAAUGAGGAGCAGCUGAGGUACCUUUGUUUGUUCAGCCUAGAGAAGAGGAGGCUGAGGGGAGACCAGAGGGUUGUCAGGCACUGGAACAGGAUCCUCAGAGUAGUGGUCAUGGCACCAAGCCUGUCAGAGUUCAAGAAGCAUUUGGAUAACUUUCACAGAAAUAUGGUUUGAUUUUGGGUUAUCCUGUGUGGAGCUAGAAAUUGGUGUCAGUGAUCUUUAUGGUUCUCUUCCAACUCAGGAUAUUCUGUGAUUCUACUCUAUGACUCUGUGGUUCUGUGAUUCUUUAUUGUAUUUCUGGUUGUCAGAGGAUAUGUUGGUAUGUAAUCUGUCUUUAAAAUUAAUUAAUAAUUUUCUAGCUCUUCCU